UGAACACAUAUAUAUCCAACACAUGUUACCAAUAGUAGCAAGUUUCAUCCAUAUAUAUACAUAGUUUCAUCAAUAUUACACAAUUUCAUGGAUAGGUAGCAAGUUUCACAAAGUCAAAACUAUCUUAUUACUAAGAUCUUUUCUGGAUCUUCUUCUUUUCGUCCAACCUGCAUAACAAAAACACUAAGAAAAAGAGAAUGGGUUAGGAGUAGAAAUGUAGCAUUUCACUUGGUGAAAUGCAAUGAUGUAGGAGCCAGCACUUGAGAUAAAGACAAUCUUAAAUUAGUGUAAAGAUAUGACCUUUUAACUCAGCAUUUGUUUGCACGGCAUAUCCACAAGACAAAAAUAGUGUAGGGCUUUUAGAGCAGAAUUAUAUCAGAAACAGUUAGCAUACCAUCACACUGAUAAGAACCGCCAGCAUGGCUGGUUUUUACCACUGAGCAUUUGAGACAAAUUGAAGAUUCCGUGUGUAUGCAAUACCGAGACCCCUAAGACAACUAUUUACACAGGACCAAACUGACAAAAUAGACACAACAAUGUGGAAAAUGGAAAAAUCAGAUAAGGAGUUACAAAGAUAAACCAAGCUAUAUAUUUUUUAGAUUGUUCAAGAUGUAUUAGUGAGUAAAAUAUAGUGCAUUUAAAUUGCGAGCACAGAGGCAGGAAGCAAUGCAUGCACCCACAGGUUUAAGAUUGUGCCUUCAUUUCAUAUAAAAAUAUAUGUUCAUUUGAUGGUAUAAAUCAUGCUCUUUAUAUCCGGACGGUCCAAUGAUUUAAUUAAUUAUUUUUGGAUUAUUUGGCAUACUGCUGUAACUACACUAAACCAAUUGAGACGCAAAUACAAAACUCUCAAGGCAUACGCAAAAGUCGCAACUAAACUAAUAUCGAGAUGACACAUAUAAUCAGUACUACUAUAUGGUAGAAGGGGGGAAACUGAAGGCAAUGCUCUAAGAGGAACUUUUUUUUUUGCGUGUAAUAACCUCCUUGUGAAAAUAUGUGGAGUCACCAUUUAAGUUGAUUUCUCCAAACUACUCCAAUCCUUUCAGAUCAGUUACAUCAGCAUAAAUGAACUGGCUCAUAUAAACUAAUAAUACUUGCCAGCCAACGCCAAUGGGUAUUACAGAACUGAACACCAAUAAAAUAGUAGAGGGUGUUAAAAUUACCUACUCAUUAGAAGAAUUGUGAUGUCAACCAUAGCAGAACCAUUUGUAGAACCACUAAAUACAUAAAACCAAGUCCCACUGUCCAAAUUAAAAUAUGAGGCGUCAGGUCGAUCUUACUGAACAAAAAUCCACAUGAGGCACCUGCAAGUCACUCCACUCUUGUUAUCAUGUACAGUUCAACAAACACAAUGACAUAAGCACAUCUUUUUCAAACAGGAAAAUAGAGGGCUGAAUUGUGGAGAGCAAAAGGGUGGCCUUGAAACUGAUUGAACUAAAGGGUAGAGUUAGUAUUAUCAAGGACAAAACCAAAAACAAUCCCAGUUCUAACACAUGACAUACACAACGUACAGACAAAAAGGGCCAUAUAAAAUGUCUACUUGUUCUAGUGGCCAACACAUGGUAACAGGCAAAAACAUCCACAAAGUCUCUCCUAAACCUCAUAGCAUUCAUUGAUAGUUGUCUUGUCAGGUGUGUUCUACUUGUUCAUGUAGCAGUGCUACUGCAGAAAUUACAUGGUGCCUCUGGAGGAGAUGCAGACCAAUCCGAUACACGCAUGGUGAGGCGGCAACAAUGUUGAUAUAUAGACAUAUAAGACCAAGUUUGUUUUUUCAGGAAUUAGGGAUCAAACUGAUUCAUUGGAAUUUCUGUGAAGAAUUCAAUGGGCUGCAUAAUACAGCAAAGGUUCAAUCGUAUAAUAGGUUACUUCCCCAUGCUGUGAGGUAGGAACGACCGGCAACAGACUCAAACGAUCUUGGAGAGGUAAAUCAAGGCGCUAUCAGUCUGCCAUUAUGCCACUCUGUAUAUAGUCUCAAGGCCUCAACAUAUGUAUUAUACAGACCACACAUAUACGCUGGAAAAGAGGAAGGAGACGCUGACAUACAUGUCUGAAUGUGAACACCAGUCUUUCUUGGAAGGCACCAAUGUAGCGCUUAUGCCGUCACGAUUGCUUGCAUCCAUAUGGAAAAAGAGAAAAAACUAAAGAUGAGAAACACCGGAGUAUACGGAGGACUACUGAUUGGGAGGAAAUAUAAACUUUUAUGCAGCCAUUAAUCUAAUCCAAUCUUCAACUUUUAUGCAGCAGCAGUACUAAUUUAGCUAGAAAAUCUGAUGAAUAUCAGAAUAUAGUUUCUAGUCGGUGGCAAUAGGAUAGAUCCGUGCAUGUGUACAUAAAGCAUCCAGCGAUGCGAAAUUGAUGGGAUCAUGGGAGCCAUCUGCUCUAACAAAACAAUACACAUGGCGGCAAUUAACCAUAGCUGUACGUCCUAGCUACUCUAGCAAAUACUCCUACUCUAUUGCAAUACAGAAGAACAUUGUGCUGCUGUAGUAGGUAGAGGAGUAGGAACAACAUGCUGCCUGUGGGAAACUGAUCCCAGGACGAACCUGGUGGCCGAUGGGCUUGGCCGGCGCUGCUCCGGCGAGGGGCGUCACUCCGGCGAGGAGGAGGCCCGUGCGGCGAGGAGGAGGCCGUAUCCGGAGUGGCCGGACCUCCCGUGGCCGGAUCCGGGCGCGAGGCAGCGUGGUGCGGCGGCGGCGACGUGGGGACGCGGGCGGGGCGCAGAGAAGCUCGGUGCUCGGCUCCCAUGGUAGCGGCGGAUCUCAAGGUCGGGGUGACCGGCGACGAGGCUUCCGCGGCGGUGCGGCGAGCUUGUGGGGAGGUGGCGGCGCACGACGCGGCGUAGGCGGCAGUGCGAGGCGGCAGGGCUCCUAGGGCCCGGUGAGGUGGCGGCGCGCACCGGCGGGUGGAGGCGAGGUGGCGCAGCGGCGCGGGGUCGAGGGAGGCGGGGUCGGGCAGCUCGGCUGUGGGGCAGGGACGGAG
rnacentral:rRNA from 1 species